rnacentral:rRNA from 1 species
GUGGGGAAUAUUGGACAAUGGGCGCAAGCCUGAUCCAGCCAUGCCGCGUGAGUGAUGAAGGCCUUAGGGUUGUAAAGCUCUUUCAGUGGGGACGAUAAUGACGGUACCCACAGAAGAAGCCCCGGCUAACUUCGUGCCAGCAGCCGCGGUAAUACGAAGGGGGCUAGCGUUGUUCGGAUUUACUGGGCGUAAAGCGCACGUAGGCGGAUCGUUAAGUCUGGGGUGAAAUCCUGGAGCUCAACUCCAGAACUGCCUUCGAUACUGGCGAUCUUGAGUCCGGAAGAGGUGAGUGGAACUCCUAGUGUAGAGGUGGAAUUCGUAGAUAUUAGGAAGAACACCAGUGGCGAAGGCGGCUCACUGGUCCGGUACUGACGCUGAGGUGCGAAAGCGUGGGGAGCAAACAGGAUUAGAAACCCGUGUAGUCC